GAGACGCGGCACGUGGCUCUUGACGCACGCAAGCCGGCGGGGCGGGGCGGGAAGCGCGGUAGGUUCCUGCGUUAGGCAGCUGGUCCCGUCUCCCAGCGGCGACUGACUCCCGUCAAGAGUAGGUUACCAUGAAAAUGUCUCCUUAACACCGGUCUGGAAAUUCUAAAACAAGAUUGAACUGAAAUGCUGCUUUGAUUUCAUCUGAGGUUUUGGAUACAUAAAUGAACAUGUUUGCGAAAUUAUUAAAUACGAAAAUGGA